rnacentral:rRNA from 1 species
CCUACGGGAGGCAGCAGUGGGGAAUAUUGCGCAAUGGGCGAAAGCCUGACGCAGCGACGCCGCGUGGAGGAUGAAGGUCUUCGGAUUGUAAACUCCUGUCGUCCGGGACGAAUGCCGGAGAGGUUAACAGUCUCUUCGGUUGACGGUACCGGAGGAGGAAGCCCCGGCUAACUACGUGCCAGCAGCCGCGGUAAU